CAGUCGCCGCGGUAAAACGAAGGGUGCAAGCGUUAAUCGGAAUUACUGGGCGUAAAGCGUGCGUAGGCGGUGAGUUAAGUCUGCUGUGAAAUCCCCGGGCUCAACCUGGGAAUGGCAGUGGAUACUGGCUCGCUAGAGUGUGUCAGAGGAUGGUGGAAUUCCCGGUGUAGCGGUGAAAUGCGUAAAGAUCGGGAGGAACGUCAGUGGCGAAGGCGGCCAUCUGGGACAACACUGACGCUGAGGCACGAAAGCGUGGGGAGCAAACAGGAUUAGAUACCCGCGUAGUCCCUGUCUCUUAUAC
rnacentral:rRNA from 1 species